UGGGGAAUAUUGGACAAUGGGCGAAAGCCUGAUCCAGCCAUGCCGCGUGUGUGAAGAAGGUCUUCGGAUUGUAAAGCACUUUAAGUUGGGAGGAAGGGCAGUAAGCGAAUACCUUGCUGUUUUGACGUUACCGACAGAAUAAGCACCGGCUAACUCUGUGCCAGCAGCCGCGGUAAUACAGAGGGUGCAAGCGUUAAUCGGAAUUACUGGGCGUAAAGCGCGCGUAGGUGGUUCGUUAAGUUGAAUGUGAAAGCCCCGGGCUCAACCUGGGAACUGCAUCCAAAACUGGCGAGCUAGAGUAGGGCAGAGGGUGGUGGAAUUUCCUGUGUAGCGGUGGAAUGCGUAGAUAUAGGAAGGAACACCAGUGGCGAAGGCGACCACCUGGGCUCAUACUGAUACUGAGGUGCGAAAGCGUGGGGAGCAAACAGG
rnacentral:rRNA from 1 species